rnacentral:rRNA from 1 species
UACGUAGGGUGCGAGCGUUGUCCGGAAUUAUUGGGCGUAAAGGGCUCGUAGGCGGUCUGUUGCGUCGGGAGUGAAAACUCAGGGCUUAACCCUGAGCCUGCUUCCGAUACGGGCAGACUAGAGGUAUGCAGGGGAGAACGGAAUUCCUGGUGUAGCGGUGAAAUGCGCAGAUAUCAGGAGGAACACCGGUGGCGAAGGCGGUUCUCUGGGCAUUACCUGACGCUGAGGUGCGAAAGCGUGGGGAGCAAACAGG